GAAAAAGGAACACAAACUAAGAAGGGUGCUGAGCCCUCAUCACCUGGAGGGACUUGUGCCUCUCUCAGUGGUAGUAGAGGGGCUACUUCUUACUGCCACAGUCAUGAUUGAGAGGCAAUGGGUGGCGAGCCUACAGAGGACGUCGUCGAGGAGACAUGGGAUAACUUCAAGGGAGAAGAAACUCCUAGAGGGCAGAGGCAUGCCUGCCAUCUUCAUCAUUGCAUUACCAUCACCCAACACUAUCAGGGGACCUGCCCUGAUAAUCAGUCUACAGUUGUAUCCAGCAGCUCCAGAGAGACAGCGACCAGCAAGAAGGGGCCAUGAUGAUGGUGGUGGUUUUUUCAAAACGAAAAGGGGGAUAUGUAGGGAAAAGAAAGAGAGAUCAGACUCUUACAGACUCUUACUGUGUCUACAUAGAAAGGGAAGACAUAAGAGACUCCAUUUGGAAAAAGACCUGUACUUUAAACAAUUGCUUUGCUGAGAUGUUGUUAAUCUGUAGCUUUGCCCCAGCCACUUUGCCCCAACCACUUUGACCCAGUCUGGAGCUCACAAAAACAUGUGUUGUAUGAAAUCAAGGUUUAAGGCAUGUAGGGCUGUGCAGGAUGUGCCUUGUUAACCAAAUGUUUGCAAGCAGUAUACUUGGUAAAAGUCAUCACCAUUCUCUUGUCUCAAUAAACCAGGGGCACAAUGCACUGUGGAAAGCCGCAGGGACCUCUGCCCUUGAAAGCUGGGUAUUAUUCAAAGUUUCCCCCCAUGUGAUAGUCUGAAAUAUGGCCUCGUGGGAUGAGAAAGGCCUGACGGUCCCCUAGCCCGACACCCAUAAAAGGUCUGUGCUGAGGUGGAUUAGUCAAAGAGGAAAGACUCUUGCAUUUGAGAUAGAGGAAGGCCACUGUCUCCUGCCUGCCCCUGGGAACUGAAUGUCUCGGUAUAAAACACGAUUGUACAUUUGUUCAAUUCUGAGAUGGGAGAAAAACCGCCCUAUGGUGGGAGGUGAGACAUGUUUACAGCAAUACUGCCUUGAUAUUCUUUACUCCACUGAGAUGUUUGGGUGGAGAGAAACAUAAAUCUGGCUUACAUGCACGUUCAGUCAUAGUACCUUCCCUUGAACUUCAUUAUGACAUAGAUUCUAUUGCUCACAUGUUUGUUGCUGACCUUCUUAUUAUCACCCUGCCCUCCUACUACAUUCCUUUUUGCUGAAAUAAUAAAGAUAGUAUUCAAUAAAAACUGAG
rnacentral:lncRNA from 1 species